rnacentral:rRNA from 1 species
AGAGUUUGAUCCUGGCUCAGGAUGAACGCUAGCUACAGGCUUAACACAUGCAAGUCGAGGGGCAGCAUGGUCUUAGCUUGCUAAGGCCGAUGGCGACCGGCGCACGGGUGAGUAACACGUAUCCAACCUGCCGUCUACUCUUGGACAGCCUUCUGAAAGGAAGAUUAAUACAAGAUGGCAUCAUGAGUCCGCAUGUUCACAUGAUUAAAGGUAUUCCGGUAGACGAUGGGGAUGCGUUCCAUUAGAUAGUAGGCGGGGUAACGGCCCACCUAGUCUUCGAUGGAUAGGGGUUCUGAGAGGAAGGUCCCCCACAUUGGAACUGAGACACGGUCCAAACUCCUACGGGAGGCAGCAGUGAGGAAUAUUGGUCAAUGGGCGAGAGCCUGAACCCGCCAAGUAGCGUGAAGGAUGACUGCCCUAUGGGUUGUAAACUUCUUUUAUAAAGGAAUAAAGUCGGGUAUGCAUACCCGUUUGCAUGUACUUUAUGAAUAAGGAUCGGCUAACUCCGUGCCAGCAGCCGCGGUAAUACGGAGGAUCCGAGCGUUAUCCGGAUUUAUUGGGUUUAAAGGGAGCGUAGAUGGAUGUUUAAGUCAGUUGUGAAAGUUUGCGGCCCAACCGUAAAAUUGCAGUUGAUACUGGAUAUCUUGAGUGCAGUUGAGGCAGGCGGAAUUCGUGGUGUAGCGGUGAAAUGCUUAGAUAUCACGAAGAACUCCGAUUGCGAAGGCAGCCUGCUAAGCUGCAACUGACAUUGAGGCUCGAAAGUGUGGGUAUCAAACAGGAUUAGAUACCCUGGUAGUCCACACGGUAAACGAUGAAUACUCGCUGUUUGCGAUAUACAGCAAGCGGCCAAGCGAAAGCGUUAAGUAUUCCACCUGGGGAGUACGCCGGCAACGGUGAAACUCAAAGGAAUUGACGGGGGCCCGCGCAAGCGGAGGAACAUGUGGUUUAAUUCGAUGAUACGCGAGGAACCUUACCCGGGCUUAAAUUGCAGAUGAAUUACGGUGAAAGCCGUAAGCCGCAAGGCAUCUGUGAAGGUGCUGCAUGGUUGUCGUCAGCUCGUGCCGUGAGGUGUCGGCUUAAGUGCCAUAACGAGCGCAACCCUUGUUGUCAGUUACUAACAGGUUCCGCUGAGGACUCUGACAAGACUGCCUUCGUAAGAUGUGAGGAAGGUGGGGAUGACGUCAAAUCAGCACGGCCCUUACGUCCGGGGCUACACACGUGUUACAAUGGGGGGUACAGAGGGCCGCUACCACGCGAGUGGAUGCCAAUCCCAAAAACCUCUCUCAGUUCGGACUGGAGUCUGCAACCCGACUCCACGAAGCUGGAUUCGCUAGUAACCGCGCAUCAGCCACGGCGCGGUGAAUACGUUCCCGGGCCUUGUACACACCGCCCGUCAAGCCAUGGGAGCCGGGGGUACCUGAAGUGCGUAACCGCGAGGAGCGCCCUAGGGUAAAACUGGUGACUGGGGCUAAGUCGUAACAAGGUA